GCCCGCUUAGUAUAGUGGCUAGUAUAGGGGACUGUGGAUCCCCGGACGCGGGUUCAAUUCCCGCAGCGGGCCCCA
rnacentral:tRNA from 1 species